rfam:Ixodes scapularis strain Wikel colony gcontig_1108379213450, whole genome shotgun sequence.
UAAUUCAGUUGGUAGAGCGCUCCACUGGAAACGGAGAGGUCCCGGGUUCGAUACCCGG